UACAGAGGUCUCAAGCGUUGUUCGGAUUCAUUGGGCGUAAAGGGUGCGUAGGCGGCGCGGUAAGUCGGGUGUGAAAUCUCGGAGCUUAACUCCGAAACUGCAUUCGAUACUGCCGUGCUUGAGGACUGGAGAGGAGACUGGAAUUUACGGUGUAGCGGUGAAAUGCGCAGAUAUCGUAAGGAAGACCAGUGGCGAAGGCGGGUCUCUGGGCCGAUACUGACGCUGAGGAGCGAAAGCGUGGGGAGCGAACAGG
rnacentral:rRNA from 1 species